GUGGGGAAUAUUGCGCAAUGGGCGAAAGCCUGACCCAGCAACGCCGCGUGAAGGAAGAAGGUCUUCGGAUCGUAAACUUCUAUCCUUGGUGAAGAUAAUGACGGUAGCCGAGAAGGAAGCCCCGGCUAACUACGUGCCAGCAGCCGCGGUAAUACGUAGGGGGCAAGCGUUGUCCGGAAUGAUUGGGCGUAAAGGGCGCGUAGGCGGCCUGGUAAGUCUGGAGUGAAAGUCCUGCUUUUAAGGUGGGAAUUGCUUUGGAUACUGUCGGGCUUGAGUGCAGGAGAGGUAAGUGGAAUUCCCGGUGUAGCGGUGAAAUGCGUAGAGAUCGGGAGGAACACCAGUGGCGAAGGCGACUUACUGGACUGUAACUGACGCUGAGGCGCGAAAGUGUGGGGAGCAAACAGGAUUAGAAACCCGGGUAGUCC
rnacentral:rRNA from 1 species